rnacentral:tmRNA from 1 species
GGGGAUGAAUUGGUAUCGACUUCGUGAUUUCCUGAGUUCGAUGUUUCUGUUCAGCUUGGCAACGGUAGCUGUUACCCACUUGUUGCACGAAUAAUUGCAAAAACUGCAAAAGUUCCUGAGGUGUUCAUAAGAGCGUUUUCGCCUUCUUAUGCCCUCGCCUAGUUCCGCUCAGCGGAACGCGCUCUCCCAUUGAUUCUCGCUAUUUGGAUAGAGCGUCAUCAGCGAGACGUAACUUAACUUGAUGUGAUUGAGUCUACGUACUUAAGCAUCAACCCUUCUUAGUACUUCUCGUUCUCUCUUUAUUCUAAGAAGUAUCAGAGAGUUCAUAACAGUAUGAACACUUACUUCAGCACGUAGCACCCGGGUUCAAUUCCCGGCAUCUCCACCA